CUUUUUGCCCUGCUUCUUGGGCUCUCAAUUUACUCUCUGCAGAGAGUGGGCCACAAGUACUGCGAAAUUCUGAAAAGGAGCAAAAGAAAAAAAGGAUAAUGUCAGGAACAUGAAAUAAGAGGUGGAAACAAAGGGAUGGCAGGGGAUAGUACUAGAAAACGAGCAAGCCAGAACUAAGAGGCUAUGCAAGAGAAAGGGCAGGCAGAAAAGGUCACUGGACUACAGGUAAAGCAGACAGGCUUCCAACAAGUAGAGCUCCUGAGCUCAGUGCUUCACAAGUGUUCUCCUCUUAACAGACAAUGAAAAAUUUUAAACAAGCCGAGAUGUUUCAACAGAGCCCACGCCUCAUCAUACCUCUAUUCCUUUCACCGAGUCUCAGGUUUUACCUGAGAAAUGAGGAAAAGAAGCAAAGACAGCAAUUGCUGAGGAAGUGAGGAAAAUAAUGUUUGCACACACAUUCGGAGCAGAAGCUGUUUGCCACUCACAGGUCUGACUUCUGUCUGUUUCAGAUAGCUAUAGAAUAACAUCUUUGGACUCAACAGGGCACAGGCAAGCAAGCAGAAUUGAGGAUGUAAAUGUGCCAGGUAGCAUUUGGUGCCUCACUUUAAACACCAACACAAACAUCUCAAAUACGCAUUGUAGAAUUUUCCUGGCACUGUGCAAAGCAUGGUCGAUUGUUACUCCAGAAUUAUUAGAAAUAGGAUUAUAUGAUUAUUCCAGAAUAUUUUAUUUUCCCAAAGAAGGUUAAGGAUAGAAUUUUGUAGAGUUUUUGUUUUUUUAAUGCAUCCAACACAUAGGAGAAUUUUAUUUUAAAGCCCUUUUUAAAAAUGAAAAUUCUAGUUGGUCAUCAAUUCUCUUCAGAGCAAACAUCAUUUAUUCUACUCUAUAAAAAGAAACCUAAACAAAUUAAGAUGACAAGUAAGAAAAACUUAUUCUCUUUAUCUCCUUUAAAACCAAAAUUUUAGUUCUGCUGGGCUGGUUUUCUUCAAAUUCUCAUUAUUUUACCAAUGAGGCACUUUAUAAUACAAAUGCUUAAAGUGUUGAGGGAUUCUGACUCCCAAAAACAUCAUUUGAUAUAACAAGAUUUGUACUACUGAUGUUGAUAUACACAAUUAAAUCUUUCUUCUAGUGAAUGAUGAAAAUAAAUGUUGAAGUAAAUACUGAUCAAAUAAAUGCUUUUUGUAACAUAUCACCCAAAAUCUUCAUUUGAGUGUUCAUAUACCUUUUUCUUGUUCUAUAAAAUAGAGAAUUAUAUGGAUCAAAUAUUGGAAACAGAAUUAAGAAGACUAUGAACACAUGAUAAAUAAAUACCUGUCAAUAGGAAACCAGGGCACAGAUUAAUUUCUUAUGAAUGGACACAAAUUAAGAAAAAUCAGUGCUUUUAAAAGCUCAUUCUGUGGAGCAUAGAUAAAAUUCACAAGAUAAUCAGUUUGUCAGAGUAAAGUGUUUCCAAAUGCUGGAAACUUCUGCAUUGCCAACUCAUCACAUUAUUUGCAAACUGUACUCUCUUCUACCCACAAUUAUGACCACCAGAAAACAGGAUCAACAGAACGAAGGGCAGGCUAAUUUCCUAUUACAAAUGUUUUUCAUUUUUAAUACGGCAUUAGCCACAGAAGACCUAAAGCCAACUUUCAGCAUUUACUGUGGUGUCUACUUUUGAACUUAAAGGCACACAGCAAAUAACCCUAAAAGUGGAGGGUAUACAGUUUAGCCCUUCUACUCAAUGCAAAACAAAACAAAUUAAGGCAUGUUCCUGACUUAGUAUGCAUUCUUCUCAACAAAUAAAAGUAAUUUUACAGAAGAUAUAUAGUAGCCCCCAAAUGAUAUCUGUAAUGUCUCAGUGCAAGAAGAGAUAACUAUAAGGCAGACAUCCUAGGAUGAACUCCCAUAACUCUUAAUAAUGGGUCCCAGACACAUACAGAGUUUCCUGCAUAUCCUGUACAAGAGAGGCCAGGCCCGUGGGAUGGUGGGUCGGUGUGUGAAUAAUAUUUCACAAAUCCUGGUACAUGAACAAAAGGAGAACGUCACCCAUAAUUACUUUCUUGAGAGAUCACAAAAUAGAUAGGUACUUCUCUCUAAAUACAUAUUUCUAAAAAGCUCUUACUCCUGAUCUUUUUAGGGCAGGAUGAAUAGAAAUCAAUGCUUCCCGCUGCUGUUUAUGUUGCCCUAGUAUUAUGAAAUCACAGAACAAAAGUACAGAGAACAACUUGAUAAGAUCACCCUUAAGGGCUCCCAGAAACUAUUAAGAUAGUUUAAGAUAAGGAAGGGUUUAGCCCCUGUGUUAACAAAUAUUUUUUGUAGAACUGUCCCUUCCAGGGGCUGACCUAAAUAUAUAGUGAAAAGAAAACUUCAACAAACAAAUCAAGCUUCUUACGGAGGAACUCUACAAAACGCAGAACUGGCAUAGGAUAUAUGUUUUAAAAAUACUGCAGUAACUACUUCACUUGGGAAUUCUCAAACGAAAAAGCCCUCCUGUGGCUGCUCCUACAUGUUUGUUUGACUCUCUGCCAGAUGUCAGUGUGGGGUGAGCAUCUUGUGUGCCCUGAGAAUGUAAGUGCAUUCUCCCUGAGGAAGCAGUGGGAAAGAACAGGAAGGGGCAGAGGCGAAGAACAGAAUUCAAGGACAAGGUUAAAAGCAGUUUUGUCUUCUGACUUUGUCACCAUGAAACGCACCUGCUGUGAUGUCCAGUUGAGCUACUGACGGUCCUCUGGCUGCUUCUGGAAACUGAUGCUGGCAUAGGCGCUUAAAUCCUCACUUGAGCGGCGGGUGGAGCUGCUCUCACCGCUGCCCAGGGGUUGAUGAGGGGAAAGUCUCGGAGCUAUGCCUCCGCCGGCACCCUUGUGGGUCUGCA
rnacentral:lncRNA from 10 species